GAUGAACGCUGGCGGCGUGCCUAAUACAUGCAAGUCGAGCGAAAAGAUGAGGAGCUUGCUCCUCUGACGUUAGCGGCGGACGGGUGAGUAACACGUGGAUAACCUACCUAUAAGACUGGGAUAACUUCGGGAAACCGGAGCUAAUACCGGAUAAUAUAUUGAACCGCAUGGUUCAAUAGUGAAAGACGGUUUUGCUGUCACUUCUAGAUGGAUCCGCGCCGCAUUAGCUAGUUGGUAAGGUAACGGCUUACCAAGGCAACGAUGCGUAGCCGACCUGAGAGGGUGAUCGGCCACACUGGAACUGAGACACGGUCCAGACUCCUACGGGAGGCAGCAGUAGGGAAUCUUCCGCAAUGGGCGAAAGCCUGACGGAGCAACGCCGCGUGAGUGAUGAAGGUCUUCGGAUCGUAAAACUCUGUUAUUAGGGAAGAACAAAUGUGUAAGUAGCUAUGCACGUCUUGACGGUACCUAAUCAGAAAGCCACGGCUAACUACGUG
rnacentral:rRNA from 1 species